rnacentral:rRNA from 1 species
UACAGAGGGUGCAAGCGUUGUUCGGAAUUAUUGGGCGUAAAGGGCUCGUAGGCGGCCAACUAAGUCAUACGUGAAAUCCCUCAGCUUAACUGGGGAACUGCGUGUGAUACUGGAUGGCUUGGAUUUGGGAGAGGGAUGCGGAAUUCCAGGUGUAGCGGUGAAAUGCGUAGAUAUCAGGAAGAACACCCGUGGCGAAAGCGGCUCUCUGGAACGGUACUGACGCUGAGACGCGAAAGCGUGGGGAGCGAACAGG